UCUCCUGUAGCUCAGUGGUAGAGCGUCCUGACCGGUGAUGCGGAAGGUCAUAGGUUCGACUCCAGUUGGGGAAC